rnacentral:rRNA from 3 species
GACGAACCGUCCAAACGUUAUUCGGAAUCACUGGGCUUACAGAGUUCGUAGGCGGUCUGGAAAGUUGGGUGUGAAAUCCCUCGGCUCAACCGAGGAACUGCGCUUGAAACUACCAGACUCGAGGGAGAUAGAGGAAAGCGGAACUGAUGGUGGAGCGGUGAAAUGCGUUGAUAUCAUCAGGAACACCGGUGGCGAAGGCGGCUUUCUGGGUCUUACCUGACGCUGAGGAACGAAAGCCAGGGGAGCGAACGGG